GCGAGACGGGGACUCACUGUGCUUUUGAAGUAGUCAGUCUUUUUCUCUCUCCUAUACAAAUUGCGGGCGUAUCAACAUGUUGAACCGACCAAAGUGCCCUUCCCUGCAUAGUUAAUAAUAGUUGUUAAUCCAGAGUGCCUCUAUAUUCCUAAGCUGCCUUUUCUAUGUAAUUGAAAUAAAUAAAUGCUCUCUUCCAACAGCGCUCAAUAGGAAAAGAAACUGUUCGUUGGCACUUUCCAGUGAACUGUGAGCUACUACAUGACUUCAUUACACGUUUCAUCGUUCCAUUCCGCACGCAUCGUUCAUAUUUCUAGCUCUGUCGCACGCAAGCACACACACACACAAUGUUCGAAGCUCCCCCAAAUAUGUUUCGUUGUGUGCUUUGCUCUUCCACGAAACGUAUCGUCACAGGAAGGGACGCAGCGGGAACGGACAUCAAACCGUUACGACUGUUGUUCUGGCUGUCUGUUGCUAAGUCAGUCAAUGAUAUGUACGGGGCUGCAUGAAAUGGAACGAGAGAAACGGAGAGACUCGAAAUGAAACUGUACAAUGAAUGGGCAAGAGGAAUACAACAAAAGCGAAACUUACGUAAACACGCAUGAGGAAAUAUGCAUACAUGCCCGUGUGUGAGCGUGAAUAAUAUUUCUAGUUUUUGGUAAAGAAGAAAUCAAGUUUGCCCUCUAUCGUAUGAUUCACUAUGGGAACUGGAAAGAGAAUUGGACUUUCAAAUGCCCAGACCAGCCAUUUUACAUUUGCAUGAGUGAAACGGCACGGCGGCAGUCGUCGUGUGUCAUGGGACUUUUUCCCAUUCGCAUUCGUCAAAAAUAUAAUUAAGAUGAAAUGACUAAGAGAUGCUAAAAACUAAAAUAAAAACUGCAAUUUCCCC
rnacentral:lncRNA from 1 species